GGAAGCUGUGAUUUGCUCUUGAAGAAGCAGAAGAUGUUGCUCACCAGGUUCAUGAACUGUCCUAGCAAAUGAAUCUAACCCAAAGAGGGGAGGAAGGUUUUAGAUCCCAGUGGCUGCACCUGUAGAGAGGGUUUGAAAGUCCCUCAGUCUUUACAUACUAAAAGUUCAAUCCCGAAAUCCAGCCAGGGUUAAGCGUUCGAGCUGCAAGUUGUAUCAUCGAUAGGUUUGAGGACUUUGGAACUCCAGCCACAAUGACUGAGGUGGUUUGCAAUUACCAUCUAGGAAAGAAAGUUCACGUUAAGUACAACACCGAUGACACCAUUGGCGACUUGAAGAAACUGAUAGAGGCUCAAACUGGCACCCACUGGAAUAAGAUCAUUCUUAAAAAGUGGUACACGUUUCUUCAGGACCACGUGUCUCUGGGAGACUAUGAAAUCCAUGAUGGGAUGAACCUGGAGCUUUCUUACCAGUAGAGGGGAAUUCCUUCCUCUUUCUUGCCCCGCUCUGCCCUGCCUUCCUUUUCCACCCUCAUUUAACACUGGUAUAGAUGGUCAUGUUUAACAGUUCACAUGAAUAAAAAAAA